rnacentral:rRNA from 1 species
ACCCGCUGAACUUAAGCAUAUCAAUAAGCGGAGGAAAAGAAACCAACCGGGAUUGCCCCAGUAACGGCGAGUGAAGCGGCAAGAGCUCAAAUUUGAAAUCUGGCCCCUCCGGGGUCCGAGUUGUAAUUUGCAGAGGAUGCUUCGGGUGCGGCCCCUGUCUAAGUGCCCUGGAACGGGCCGUCAGAGAGGGUGAGAAUCCCGUCUUGGGCAGGGUGCCCGUGCCCGUGUGAAGCUCCUUCGACGAGUCGAGUUGUUUGGGAAUGCAGCUCUAAAUGGGUGGUAAAUUUCAUCUAAAGCUAAAUACCGGCCGGAGACCGAUAGCGCACAAGUAGAGUGAUCGAAAGAUGAAAAGCACUUUGAAAAGAGAGUUAAACAGCACGUGAAAUUGUUGAAAGGGAAGCGCUUGCGACCAGACUCGGCCUCGGGGUUCAGCCAGCAUUCGUGCUGGUGUACUUCCCCGGGGCCGGGCCAGCGUCGGUUC